UACGUAGGGCGCAAGCGUUGUCCGGAAUUAUUGGGCGUAAAGAGCUCGUAGGCGGCCUGUUGCGUCCGCUGUGAAAUCCCGUGGCUUAACCCCGGGUCUGCAGUGGAUACGGGCUGGCUAGAGGCAGGCAGGGGAGAACGGAAUUCCCGGUGUAGCGGUGAAAUGCGCAGAUAUCGGGAGGAACACCGGUGGCGAAGGCGGUUCUCUGGGCCUGUUCUGACGCUGAGGAGCGAAAGCGUGGGGAGCAAACAGG
rnacentral:rRNA from 1 species